AGGAUGAACGCUGGCGGCGUGCUUAACACAUGCAAGUCGAACGAUGAAGGCUGGAGCUUGCUCUGGCUGGAUUAGUGGCGAACGGGUGAGUAACACGUGAGUAACCUGCCCCAGACUCUGGGAUAAGCGCUGGAAACGGCGUCUAAUACCGGAUACGAGCUUCCACCGCAUGGUGAGGAGCUAGGAAAGAUUUCGGUCUGGGAUGGACUCGCGGCCUAUCAGCUUGUUGGUGAGGUAAUGGCUCACCAAGGCGACGGACGGGUAGCCGGCCUGAGAGGGUGACCGGCCACACGUGGGACUGAGACACGGCCCAGCUCCUACGGGAGCAGCGAGUGGGAAUAUUGCAC
rnacentral:rRNA from 1 species